rnacentral:rRNA from 1 species
AUUGAACGCUGGCGGCAGGCCUAACACAUGCAAGUCGAACGAGUGGCGGACGGGUGAGUAAUGUCUGGGAAACUGCCUGAUGGAGGGGGAUAACUACUGGAAACGGUAGCUAAUACCGCAUACCAUCGGAUGUGCCCAGAUGGGAUUAGCUAGGAGGUGGGGUAACGGCUCACCUAGGCGACGAUCCCUAGCUGGUCUGAGAGGAUUACCAGCCACACUGGAACUGGGACCAGGGCCAGACUCCUACGGGAGGCAGCAGUGGGGAAGAGUGGACAAUGGGCGCAAGCCUGAUGCAGCCAUGCCGCGUGUAUGAAGAAGGCCUUCGGGUUGUAAAGUACUUUCAGCGGGGGGGCGUUACCCGCAGAAGAAGCCACGGCUAACUACGGGCCAGCAGCCGCGGUAAUUC